CCGAUAUUCCUGUACUAUUUGUCUAAUUUCCGAUAUUCCUGUACUAUUUGUCUAAUCUCCGAUAUCCCUGUACUAUUUGUCUAAUCUCCGAUAUCCCUGUACUAUUUGUCUAAUCUCCGGUAUCCCUGUACUAUUUGUCUAAUCUCCGAUAUCCCUGUACUAUUUGUCUAAUCUCCGAUAUCCCUGUACUAUUUGUCUAAUCUCCCGUGUGAUCUUCAUAAGUGCCUCUUCCUGAACAUGUCCAUUUGGUUUAGUCCCUGUGAAUAUAUUGGUACAUAGCGUCCACACAACAAGUUAUGAUUUUAUAAACCGUCAGAGGUACAGAGAAAGAGAAAAAGGACCAACAAUAUGUCAUAUACAUGUAGACUAUUAGUUGUCAUAGUGAUUAUUAGUUGUUAUAGUCUAAGAAGGACAGGCCAAUUCAUAUCUUUUCAAAUACAUGUAUAUACAUGCUAAACGUUUUAGGUAUUUUUUCUUAUAUGCCAAAUACAUGUAGAAUAUUAGUUGAUACAUGUAUAUUCUUCGAAGGGUAGACCAAUCUAUAUCUUUUCAAAAUUAUAGAUAUAUAAGUAUUUUUUAUGCUAAACUUUUAAGUAUUUUUUUUCUUUUGAAGUUGAUAGUAUAUGCUUGUGUAACCGGUCCACAUGGGAUGCUUACUCCUCCUAGGCAUCUAAUCCAAUUUCUAGUAUGUCCAAGGGUCUCUGUUUGGCCUACUCUCAAUUUUUAGUUUCUUUUCAGGAAUUAUGAGAUUGAUCAUUGUUCGUUAUCUUUUUUAUCCUAAACUUUGAUUACGUAACUUUUAUACUAGUAACCUUAUGAUAAAAACAAAACAAUGUGUCAAAUAUCUUAUAUAUGAUUACCAAGGGCAUUAUACAGAACCGGAACAUCGUUUUCCUAAACGAAUGCCAUUUAUCAUGAAAUGACGACAUGCUAGUCAAUACAUAAAUGGAUAAACAAAACCCAUUGGAAUACCUUACAUCAUCAUAGCACAGCUUCAUAAAAUGUAUCUAAUACAUACGCUAUAAAACAUGUAUAUAAACAAUAGUCUCCCAAUCUAUAAGUAGUACUACUGUGGUCCAUGAUAAGUUUGUUACACAAAGUCAAAAUCAGCAGCACACCAGUUUUUAUGUCUACAAGAACAAGGCAGAGUUUCAUGUUGAUGUACAGCACAUGAUCCAGUCAUUCUUGCUCCCGGUAUUCUUUCAGUCUUUAUAAAUUUUCCCUGCGCCCCAAUAUUUCUAGACUUGACAGGACAAUGUAAUGCAUCGCACGCUGUGGUUUGAUUUUUGAUGUGGUAUAGUAGUAAAUUCCAAUCAAUGACAUAUUUACCGCCUUCUUGAUUUCACAGAAAUACGCAAAACUGUGUCACUAAUGUCGAUAGGGUCAAUAGGACGAAGUCCCCCCAUUCAUGCAUCUGUCGGGCCCCGCAAUUACUUCCCAUUCUGACGGAAGUGCUUCAUUUCCCAGAGUGUUGUAUGAAUGAGUUACUUGUAAUCUGUUGAAUUGGUUUGUUUUUGAAUUUCAAUCCACGAUAAGUCAGCUGCGGUGAUGUAAAGUUUUCACGAUGUCCCUAGCCUUGUUGUGGAAUGAAGUAUGAAGUACCACCUAAUUACAGAUAGGAAGCCAUCGGAUGUUGAAGAUACGCCUGAGACAGGUGUUGUAAAAUGUCUGGAUCUUCUGCAGGGUUGUUUUUGUCGUUCUCCAUGUCUCUGCUCCAUACAGCAAGAAGGACUUAACAUUGGAGUUGAGGAUCCGCAGUUUGGUAGUAAUGCGGAUGUUCUUUGAGGCCCAAAUGUUCUUUAAACGUUUACCAUAAAAAUAAAGGUAUUCAACUGUAA